GCUAUUUAUGGCUCGGGCGCCAUCUUGAGAAGCUGGAGAAGGAAAUGACAACCCACUCCAAUAUUCUUGUCUGGAGAAUCCCAGGAACAGAGGAACUUGACAAGCUGCAGUCCCUGGGUCACAGAGUUAGACACUGCUGAGUGGCUAAAACACACACUUAUUUCAGCUGGAACAUCAGUGAUGUACUCACUGCCGUCAAAGCAAGGAAGGGGCUGGCUCUGCAGGAGAGACGACCUGUAGACCCAAUUCUGGAAUGCUUGGGAAUGCCAAAGCUGGAAGCUGAAUUCCAGGGCAGGUGGAAAUUGUAAUUUCUCUCAUAUCAAGACAAAGUUGCCACACAUGCCACCUUGACUUAGAAGUCCAAAUAAAGAAAAUGAUAUCCAACACUGUUCUGGUGUAUGCAUCACUAACCUAACCUGGGCAAAAUUGCUGAGAAGCAAUUACCUCUGAGUUCUCCAUUUUACAGGUGAGGAGGCUCAGAGAGGUUAAGCG
ensembl:lncRNA